GCAGCGCGUGUUUCAUCACCACAUCGCGGAACCUGACGCCCUUCAGGCGGGCGGUGCGGAUAUAUUGCUGCGUCAUCACCUCUGUCAUCGAGGCGCGGGUCAUCCGGGCGAUAUAGCCGAUGCCGUAAAGCGCGAUGGUCAUUACCGGCAGGGUAAAGUUCCAGAAGGUG
rnacentral:ncRNA from 1 species